rfam:Asian citrus Psyllid, Diaphorina citri - Florida Strain, whole genome shotgun sequence.
GCCUAGUUAGCUUAGUUGGUAGUGCAGUGCGUCUGCCUUGUAAGCGCUAGGCCGCGGGUUCGAUUCCCGCCCGGGGCG